rnacentral:rRNA from 1 species
AACGAACGCUGGCGGCGUGGAUAAGACAUGCAAGUCGAACGGGACAGACCGAGUAGCAAUAUUUGGAAUGUUCAGUGGCGAACGGGUGCGUAACACGUGGAUAACAUUCCGGAAAGCGGGGAAUAGCCCAGGGAAACUUGGAUUAAUACCGCAUGUGGCCGCAAGGCUAAAGACGGGGACCGCAAGGCCUGUCACUUUCCGAUUGGUCCGCGGCCUAUCAGCUAGUUGGCGGGGUAAUGGCCCACCAAGGCUACGACGGGUAGCUGGGCUUACAGGACGACCAGCCACACUGGAACUGAGACACGGUCCAGACACCUACGGGUGGCAGCAGUCGAGAAUCUUUCACAAUGGGGGCAACCCUGAUGGAGCGACGCCACGUGGAGGAUAAGGUCUUCGGAUUGUAAACUCCUGUCAUGCGAGAACAAGGUACUCAGGCUAAUAACCUGAUUGUUUGAUGGUACCGCAAGAGGAAGAGACGGCUAACUCUGUGCCAGCCGCCGCGGUAAAAC